rnacentral:tRNA from 1 species
GUGGUGAAACUGGCUAACAUGCUCGGCUGAUAACUGAAAGGCUGGUAGUUCAAGUCUACCC